rnacentral:rRNA from 1 species
UACGUAGGGUGCAAGCGUUUGUCCGGAAUUAUUGGGCGUAAAGAGCUCGUAGGCGGUCUGUCGCGUCUGCUGUGAAAACUCGGGGCUUAACCCCGGGCCUGCAGUGGGUACGGGCAGACUAGAGUGCGGUAGGGGAGACUGGAAUUCCUGGUGUAGCGGUGAAAUGCGCAGAUAUCAGGAGGAACACCGGUGGCGAAGGCGGGUCUCUGGGCCGAUACUGACGCUGAGGAAGCGAAAGCGUGGGGGAGCGAACAGG